rnacentral:rRNA from 1 species
CGGUAAAGAGCUCGUGUUGGAUCUCAGCUCACGCUAAGUGGUCCACUUAAUGGUGGUUACUACUUAGCUGAGCAUUUUACAGAUUUGUCUCUUGAUGCUCUUUACCGAGUGUCAAGAGUGGUCUGUACGUUUACUUUGAAAAAAUUAGAGUGCUUAAAGCAGGCAACUCGCCCGAAUAAUCUUGCAUGGAAUAAUGGAAUAGGACCUUGGUUCUAUUUUGUUGGUCUCCGGAAUCUGAGGUAAUGAUUAAGAGGGACAGACGGGGGCAUUCGUAUUGCGCCGCUAGAGGUGAAAUUCUUGGACCGGCGCAAGACGAACUACAGCGAAAGCAUUUGCCAAGAAUGUUUUCAUUAAUCAAGAACGAAAGUUAGAGGUUCGAAGGCGAUCAGAUACCGCCCUAGUU